rnacentral:tRNA from 1 species
UCCCUGGUGGCUCAGACAGUAAAGAAUCUGUCUGCAACGCGGGAGACCCAGAUUUGAUCUCUGGCUUGGGAA